CAGAAUUUUACUUUAGAGAAAGAAUUCAAGACUUAGUUUCUCCUUAAUGUGACUAAUACUGAAGAGACAAGAUUUAAAAUAUACUUUCUCUGAAGUAACUAGAAAAUAAUUAAAUGCCAUCCAUGUAGUUGUAUUUGCCAACAUGACAUCUCUCAUUCGUUUGAGGCUGGGCUUACAUAGCCAUUCCCUGUGUUCUUUACAUUUUGUAUCUUCAGUUGCUCAGUGUCAGCCUUGUUUCACCUUUAGUUCUGCCUUAUUUUCCACUUGCCAUGCACAGAACUGGGGGAGCCUCUGGAAGUGCCAGGCUGCCACUGUCAGCUAGAUUUGCCAAGUCAAAGAGGCACAGCCAGCCCCUAAGUGCCUUUUUGGUUGCUUUUGCAUUGUGAGGACAUUCGGCAGGCAGGUCACAGUCCCUGCUGUGUGUUUCAGGGACUCUUCAUCUCACUGUAGAUGUUCCGUGCAACCAGCUUCAGUUGUGGGUUCUGUAGCCUAACACAGACCAAAGCCAGCUUUGGCCUGACUCACAAAGAUGGUCAGGACAGCAUGUAAGAGCAGAGCUGUGUCCUCAGGGAAACAGACAGGCAAGUGGCAGAGCUGGUCGGAUGCUGGUGUUCUUACAGUUUUUGAAUGUGAGGGACUAAAGUUGAUUUUGAACACCUGGACACCCAUCCCAUUUUCUCCCUUCCCAGUCCACCACCUCUUCACACCCAUGCUUAUAGGAAGAUUGUGUGGGACCCGCAUUGAAACGCUGGCCUUGAUACAUGGAGGAAUAUCAUUGCCAGCAACUGCACUCAGGAGCCCGAAUUCAGGAGUGAAAUUGCCACUUCUAGUCAGCCCCUUAUUUCCUAUGGAAACGACGCCUUCCGCCCUGCGCCUGCUGUCCUCACAUAAAGCUGAAUCAGGGUCGCCGACACUGUUCACGUUGGUCCAUCUUCUUCCUUUGCUGCUGCAGUGAGCAUCCUUCCACGCCAUCAGGAACCACUUGAUUUCCAACAGCUUCAGUCCACUAACCUUCUGAGGACUUUUUUAAAUGUAGUACCACAAAGUGACAAUUAUGGCAGGCCUGCCUUGAAAGAAUUGUCAUUUUUACUGCCAAUUUUUGGAUGAAGAUGUUUUUAUAAUCUUUUACAGUGGUCUGCAAUCAAGCAGGAAUUGCACAAUUGACUCAAUGCUAUGUGUUCUCAAGGAGCUCCUUCAGUCUAGGCUGCCCUCCGGACUGCCCUCCUGCCCCUAAGGCACCGGGACACACAGAUGAGCCUCCCACAGGCAGCUCCUGGAGCUCCCCAGGUGGCCUCUCAUGGUCACCUACAGCUAUGAGCUGUAAGGCCCGGAGCCUGAGCCACCAGACUCACCUGGCUCGCCCCACCCUCCCUGCUAGCACCAAGGCGUGUACAGCAUCUUAAGCUUGGAACAAGCAGACUGGAAUUUUCCUCUGCUACCUCUUGUGUACAGAAUCUUGUUUAUAAAUUUCAAAAGGAAGUAGCUAAACUAGGGAAGACUCUGGAUUCUAAAUUUGGUUCAUGUGUGGUGGAGUUCUUAGCUUCUAAGAGUAUAAAAUAAAUUUUUCAAAAAUGU
rnacentral:lncRNA from 1 species